UUGACGGGGAGCACCGCAACGGGAGGAGCGUGCGGUUCAAUUGGAUUCAACGCCGGACAACUCACCAGGAGCGACGGUUACAUGAAGGCCAGGCUGAUGACCUUGCCUGAUUUUCCGAGAGGUGGUGCAUGGCCGUCGUCAGUUCGUACCGUAAGGCGUUCUCUUAAGUGAGAUAACGAACGAGACCCUCACCGCUAAUUGCUAGUGUUCUCUCCGGAGGGCACGCACAUUAACGGGACCGCUGUCGCUAAGACAGAGGAAGGAGAGGUCAACGGUAGGUCCGUAUGCCCCGAAUCUCCUGGGCUACACGCGCGCUACAAAGGUUGGGACAAUGGGCUCCGACAUCGAAAGGUGAAGGCAAUCUCGAAACCCAAUCGUAGUUCGGAUUGAGGGUUGUAACUCACCCUCAUGAAGCUGGAUUCCGUAGUAAUCGCUUGUCAACAUCAAGCGGUGAAUAUGCCCCUGCUCCUU
rnacentral:rRNA from 1 species